GUGGGGAAUUUUGGACAAUGGGCGCAAGCCUGAUCCAGCAAUGCCGCGUGUGUGAAGAAGGCCUUCGGGUUGUAAAGCACUUUUGGCAGGAAAGAAAUAGUGCGUGCUAAUACCAUGCGCGAAUGACGGUACCUGCAGAAUAAGCACCGGCUAACUACGUGCCAGCAGCCGCGGUAAGACGUAGGGUGCAAGCGUUAAUCGGAAUUACUGGGCGUAAAGCGUGCGCAGGCGGUUUUGUAAGACAGGUGUGAAAUCCCCGGGCUAAACCUGGGAACUGCACUUGUGACUGGAAGGCUAGAGUGUGUCAGAGGGAGGUGGAAUUCCGCGUGUAGCAGUGAAAUGCGUAGAGAUGCGGAGGAACACCGAUGGCGAAGGCAGCCUCCUGGGAUAACACUGACGCUCAGGCACGAAAGCGUGGGGAGCAAACAGGAUUAGAAACCCCGGUAGUCC
rnacentral:rRNA from 1 species